ACUCGAUACGGCGAGUAUAAAUAGGACUUUAAGCCGUAAGCGUUCCCGCCGCAGGGCGGGAGGUAGUC
rnacentral:ribozyme from 1 species